rnacentral:ncRNA from 1 species
CCGUGAGAUAUAUUAAAUAUAUCUUUUAUUAUAUUCACUAUAUGCUAAAAAUCCUUAAAGACUUAAAUACUUUAUUAAGUAAUAAUUUAAGUAUGUAACAAUAGGUAAUUAGCAGGUAAUUCGAUUUACGAAUAACCUCAAAGACUGCACGUGAAAUAUCCUUGAAUAACAAUAUAAAUUGAUUGGAAAAGGAUAAAGAUACAGUCUGAUCCAUGAUGAAAAUCAUGG